AUAAUUGACAACAAGGUGGAAUUUAUUUCAAGACAUUGGUACAUUUUAUAUUACACAUGCAUGUAUAUGUGUCUAUGUUUUAUUUGUGUGUGUGUGUGUGCAAAAGUAAUGUGUGUGUAUCAGUUUUGUGUGUGCAUGUUUCCCAGCUCCAAACAUCAAUAACAUAAUAACAAAACUAAAACAUUUGUUUGCAAGGGGUUAAAGGUUAUACCAAUCAAAUAACAAGAUUGUACCAGAAACAAAAUGAAAGAAAAAACUGACAAUCUUUUCCUACUGUAGAACAAAGAUUAGAAAAAAAAAAAUGCAUACAAAUAUUUAAAAAAUGAAUCAGGAAAUAAAAGUAGAUAUUUUAUUUCAUACAAAAAAUGAUCCUCUAUUAUUACACAUUAUUUACAUUCAUAGAUUUAUAACUAGUUUUAUUUUAUUUUUUAAAUUAUGCAAUUUUGA